GGCCGUGUGGCUCAAUGGCAGAGCGUCUGACUACGAUUCAAGUACAUCAGGAGGUUGCAGGUUCGACCCCUGUCUCGGUCA
rfam:Escovopsis weberi scaffold00011, whole genome shotgun sequence.